UGUCGGGGUAACGGCCCAACAAGCCAGUAAUCGGUACGGGUUGUGGGAGCAAGAGCCCGGAGUUGGAUUCUGAGACACGAAUCCAGGCCCUACGGGGCGCAGCAGGCGCGAAAACUUUACAAUGCGGGCAACCGUGAUAAGGGAACCUCGAGUGCCUGUAUAUGCAGGCUGUCUGGGUGUCUAAAACACACCUAAAGAAAGGGCCGGGCAAGACCGGUGCCAGCCGCCGCGGUAAUACCGGCGGCUCGAGUGGUGGCCACUUUUAUUGGGCUUAAAGCGUUCGUAGCUGGGUUAUUAAGUCCCUUGGGAAAUCCGACGGCUUAACCGUCGGGCGUCUAAGGGAUACUGGCAAUCUUGGAACCGGGAGAGGUGAGGGGUACUUCGGGGGCAGGAGUGAAAUCCUGUAAUCCUCGAGGGACCACCUGUGGCGAAGGCGCCUCACCAGAACGGCUUCAACAGUGAGGGACGAAAGCUGGGGGAGCAAACCGGAUUAGAU
rnacentral:rRNA from 1 species